CAGAGACACUAAGAGCAUCUGAAACGCUUUUGUUGUGUGUUUACUCAUUACUGCUUGUGUAGUCGGGCACACCACACUCUUCCCAACAGUAUACAGACGAGGAGGCAUGCAAAGGUAUGUCUAUUGGUGUGUUAUGUACAACACAUUUACCAUCCUCCUCCCUUACCUCUUCAAUGAACAUACCAUAGGCCUCUACAUUAUGGACAAGACUUCACCCUCCCUACACCUCUGCAUUUCACAGAAAACCUGUUCAAUCACCAUGGACUGCAACAUCAUUCUGGCUAUGUAUACGGAG